UACGUAGGGGGGCUAGCGUUGUCCGGAUUUAUUGGGCGUAAAGAGCGUGUAGGCGGCCUGGUAGGUCUGCUGUGAAAACUCGAGGCUCAACCUCGAGAUGUCGGCGGAAACCAUCUGGCUAGAGUCCGGAAGAGGAGAGUGGAAUUCCUGGGUGUAGCGGUGAAAAUGCGCAGAUAUCAGGAAGAACACCUAUGGCGAAGGCAGCUCUCUGGGACGGUACUGACGCUGAGACGCGAAAGCGUGGGGAGCGAACAGG
rnacentral:rRNA from 1 species